GGUUGUAUAGUGUAGCGGUUAUCACAUCGGAUUCUGAUGUCCUCCUCCAGUGCCCUCUGUAGGAGACCCAGACAUUCCGGGGACCCCGGUUCGAGUCCGGGUACGACCU